rnacentral:rRNA from 1 species
GUGGGGAAUUUUGGACAAUGGGCGCAAGCCUGAUCCAGCAAUGCCGCGUGCAGGAAGAAGGCCUUCGGGUUGUAAACUGCUUUUGUCAGGGAAGAAAUCUUCUGGGCUAAUACCCCGGGAGGAUGACGGUACCUGAAGAAUAAGCACCGGCUAACUUCGUGCCAGCAGCCGCGGUAAUACGAAGGGUGCAAGCGUUAAUCGGAAUUACUGGGCGUAAAGCGUGCGCAGGCGGUUUUGUAAGACAGGCGUGAAAUCCCCGGGCUCAACCUGGGAAUUGCGCUGGUGACUGCACGGCUGGAGUGCGGCAGAGGGGGAUGGAAUUCCGCGUGUAGCAGUGAAAUGCGUAGAUAUGCGGAGGAACACCGAUGGCGAAGGCAAUCCCCUGGGCCUGCACUGACGCUCAUGCACGAAAGCGUGGGGAGCAAACAGGAUUAGAAACCCGGGUAGUCC